rnacentral:rRNA from 1 species
AGGGCGCAUGGUGGAUGCCUUGGCAUGCUGAGCCGAUGAAGGACGUGUAAGGCUGCGUUAAGCCUCGGGGAGUUGUCAAUAAAGCGUUGAUCCGAGGAUGUCCGAAUGGGGAAACCCAGGCGAUGAAUGCCGCCUAUCCGCUUCUGAAUUCAUAGGAAGCGAGAAGCCCACGCAGGGAAGUGAAACAUCUCAGUACCUGCAGGAAGAGAAAACAAAAGUGAUUCCGUGAGUAGUGGCGAGCGAAAGCGGAUGGGGCUAAACCGUAUGUGUGUGAUACCCGGCAGGGGUUGCAUGUACGGGGUUGUGGGCCUUUGCGUGAUGGUUCUGCCGGACCGUCGAAGUGAGGUGCGGGCGUAUAGACGAACAAUCUUGGAUGGUUGACCGUAGAGGGUGAGAGUCCCGUAGUUGUAAUGCGUUCCGCCGCUGUUGAGUGGUUGCCCGAGUAGCACGGGGCCCGAGGAAUCCCGUGUGAAUCUGCCAGGACCACCUGGUAAGCCUGAAUACUACCUGUUGACCGAUAGCGGAUCAGUACCGUGAGGGAAUGGUGAAAAGUACCCCGGGAGGGGAGUGAAAUAGUACCUGAAACCAUGUGCCUACAAACCGUCGGAGCCUCCUUGUUGGGGUGACGGCGUGCCUUUUGAAGAAUGAGCCUGCGAGUUAGUGAUACGUGGCGAGGUUAACCCGUGUGGGGAAGCCGUAGCGAAAGCGAGUCUGAAUAGGGCGAUUCAGUCGCGUGUCCUAGACCCGAAGCGGAGUGAUCUACCCAUGGCCAGGUUGAAGCGCGUGUAAGAGCGCGUGGAGGACCGAACCCACUUCAGUUGAAAAUGGAGGGGAUGAGCUGUGGGUAGGGGUGAAAGGCCAAUCAAACUCGGAAAUAGCUGGUUCUCCGCGAAAUCUAUUUAGGUAGAGCCUCGAGUGAAUACCCCAGGGGGUAGAGCACUGGAUGGGCUAUGGGGACUCACCGUCUUACUGAUCCUAACCAAACUCCGAAUACCUGGAUGUCUUAUCCGGCAGACACACUGUGGGUGCUAACGUUCAUAGUGGAAAGGGAAACAACCCUGACCGCCAGCUAAGGUCCCCAAGUCAUGGCUAAGUGGGAAAGGAUGUGAGGAUCCCAAAACAACCAGGAUGUUGGCUUAGAAGCAGCCACCAUUUAAAAAGUGCGUAAUAGCUUACUGGUCUAGUGAGCCCGCGCCGAAAAUGUAACGGGGCUAAAGCGCAGCACCGAAGCCACGGAUUCUCGAAAGAGAGUGGUAGGCGAGCGUCGUCAUGCAGAUACACGACAGACGGAAACGACUGUUACCGGGCAUGACGAGUGAAUAUGCAGGCAUAAGUAGCGAUAAACCGGGUGAGAAACCCGGUCGCCGUAAGCCCAAGGUUUCCUGGGGAAGGUUCGUCCUCCCAGGGUUAGUCGGGAGCUAAGGUGAGGCCGUAAGGAGUAACCGAUGCACAACUGGUUAAUAUUCCAGUACCGCUCAAAGCCGUUCGACUCUGCUGAUGACGGAGAAAGUUAACAAAGCGACAUUUUGAAUUGUUGUCCAAUCCUGUAGGUUGUCUGGGGUUAAAAGACCGGAUUUAUCUGAAUGGAGAUGGGACCGUAAUGCUACGGCAGAGCGGGAUUUUGUGAUACUCAGCUUCCAAGAAAAGUCAGCAGGUUAGGCGCAAAGCGCCCGUACCGUAAACCGACACAGGUGGGUGAGUGUAAGCGCACUCAGGCGCGCGAGAGAAACCUCUCUAAGGAACUCGGCACAUUAGCCUCGUAACUUCGGGAGAAGAGGUGCUCACUUCGGUGAGCCUCAGUAAAUUGCGUUUAGCGACUGUUUAACAAAAACACAGCACUCUGCCAAGUCGUGAAGACGACGUAUAGGGUGUGACACGUGACCAAUGCGGAAAGAUCAAGGUGCUUUGUCAGGCGCAAGCCGAAGCUCGGUGCCAAAGUCCCCGUGAAUGUCGGCCGUAACUAUAACGGUCCUAAGGUAGCGAAAUUCCUUGUCGGGUAAGUUCCGACCUGCACGAAUGGAGUAACGACUUCCCCGCUGUCUCAACCAUGAACUCGGCGAAAUUGCAUUACGAGUAAAGAUGCUCGUUACGCGCAGAAGGACGGAAAGACCCCGAGACCUUUACUAUAGUUUGGUAUUGGUGUUCGGUGUGGCUUGUGUAGGAUAGGUGGGAGACUGUGAAGCCGGCACGCCAGUGCUGGUGGAGUCAUCGUUGAAAUACCACUCUGGUCACUCUGGACAUCUAACUUCGGCCCGUGAUCCGGGUCAGGGACAGUGCCUGAUGGGUAGUUUAACUGGGGCGGUUGCCUCCCAAAAUGUAACGGAGGCGCCCAAAGGUCCCCUCAGCCUGGUUGGCAAUCAGGUGGUGAGUGUAAGUGCACAAGGGGGCUUGACUGUGAGAGAGACAUCUCGAGCAGGGACGAAAGUCGGGACUAGUGAUCCGGCGGUGGCUUGUGGAAGCGCCGUCGCUCAACGGAUAAAAGGUACCUCGGGGAUAACAGGCUGAUCUUGCCCAAGAGUCCAUAUCGACGGCAUGGUUUGGCACCUCGAUGUCGGCUCGUCGCAUCCUGGGGCUGGAGUAGGUCCCAAGGGUUGGGCUGUUCGCCCAUUAAAGCGGUACGCGAGCUGGGUUCAGAACGUCGUGAGACAGUUCGGUCCCUAUCCGCUGCGCGCGUUGGAAAUUUGAGAAGGUCUGUCCUUAGUACGAGAGGACCGGGACGGACGAACCUCUGGUAUGUCAGUUGUACCGCCAGGUGCAUGGCUGAUUAGCUACGUUCGGGAUGGAUAACCGCUGAAAGCAUCUAAGCGGGAAGCCCCCCCCAAGAUUAGAUCUCCCUGGGAACUCGAUUCCCCUGAAGGGCCGUCGAAGACUACGACGUUGA